CUCGUCAGCUGCAAAAAAUAAAUGUUUCUGGAGCUGGAGGAUCAUGUUGCAGAAGCGUGUGACUGCGAGACCCAGAUUCCUUUCCCUGCUUCCCUCGUCUCUUUCCUUAGGUGAUUUUUAGCAUUAUUAUUUGUUUUGGGAGGGGAAAAAUCCUCCUCGCUUCAGUCUCUUGCUAGAGGUCCAGACUGCUUACGUCUGAGCGCCCCUUAUCAUUUCAGUGAAUGGCAAUUGCAGCCUUGGUGCUGUUAUAGCAAUGAAGCUACAGACGUCAUUGCCUCCUGUUGGACGUGAGAUGUGUCCAAGCAUCAGCCCCUUCUGCUUAAGAAAAACUCUUUAACUUCCAUGCAGCCGGCAGGCAGGCUUUCCUAAGAUCCUGUGGACCCAACACCGCAUUGAUACCGUUAUAUAUUUUUCUUUAUAUAUGCAUAUACAUAUACACAGGUGUACGUGUGUACGUGUGUUUGUAUGUAUGCAUAUAGAGAGCCAGAAAUAGCUAAUUUAAAGCCGCUGCCGCACAGCGAGCUUCUCCAAAAUUUCCUGCUCGUCAGAGUAGCUCUGCAUCGUUCUGUUAAAUGCAGCCAGGCGGGAAAGCCAUCGUCCAUCAAUUUCGGGUAACAAGGACGACCUGUUGAACACCUUUUGCUCUCCGACCCCCGGGAAGAUGCUGGGCUGCCGGAGCACGGAAGAGCCAGGACUGUGCCCCGAACUUCACCCGCUCGGCAGCCGCUGUUCCUAAGCCAUUUCCCCUCUCCUCCCCCGCCUCUUUGCCUCCCGGACCGAGAAUCUGCUCUUUAAAGUUGAUCUGACGGGGAAAGCAGAGACGAGCUUGUGCAUAGUUCGCAGGGUUGAAGCCAAAGAACACAGCGGCCUUCACAAGCGAUCUCUCCACCUGCAGCAAUCUGUUUCAUUGGAAACAGCUCAGUUUUGGCCUUCUAUGUUGGAAGCAUGUCAACACAAUUUGUCAAUGGAAGCUUUUUGGAUGCUGCAAGUAAUGAAGUGGUCAGGAUUUGGGGAUUUUGCUGCUGCCAAAAUAUUUUUCAUUUCCUGAUAGCUUUCUAUGAUGCAGUUCUUGAAGAUAUCUUUCCUUUCUGAGAUAACUCAGAGUGAAUGUUUAUUACAACAGGCUAUUGAAGAAGUUCCCAACUAGAGGGUCCUUUUUGUCAUGGGAUAUUUCUUUCAUUUGCUGCUCAAGGUCCUCAUACAAUUUAUUUCACUGAUAAUAUUUAUAGUUCUUGUUAUUUUUGUAGAUUUUCUGCCUCAGUAUUUGUGCCACAGUAGGAACUAGCUACAAUGAGGUGAGUUGAGCUGUCCAGUGUGAAUUAUGAAAGAAGUAUGAUAUUGCAGAAGAAAAGGCAUCUUCAAUUUCACUAAGUUAAGGAGGUCACAGAGCAGUCAGGUUUAUAUUCACUGUUCUGGAAUCUGCUCAUACCCUUGCAUAAAACUCUUGCUAUGUACUGAAGGUAGGUAGUUGUUUUUUUUCAGGCUAUGCUUUCAGCAUAGUCUGAUACACAGAGUUCUCUGAUGCUUCUUGUGUUUCAUCUUGCCUAAAGACUCCCAGUUUUGCAGUAACAUGCAGGCUGAUCACUAGUCCUGCUGGAAAUAUAUGCUUCCCAGACUGUUGAAUGACAUUUCCCCAGUGAGUUGUUUUUCUCACUAUUAAAUGAUUUGGUUGCCUGAAGAGAUCUCCAGCUUUGACACUGGUUCCUAAAAGGGGAAGGUGCACUCUUUUCCCAAAUCUUGGGAUCCUAGACUGUUAUAAACCAGCCAUAGUUUAUGCAACCAUGCCCAGAUCUGUACUGGCGUAGACUUCAUAAAGUUCUUUCCUCAGUUUACAGGUGGAAAAAAGAUAAAAAUAUGAAUGUUUAGUAAAAGUACCUUCUGGAUGUGUUCAGAGUACCCAGUUUAAGCACUGAGGACUUAAUCCUCUGGAGAAGAAAGCAAUAAAAUACCUGUCAUCAGUUACA
ensembl:lncRNA